CAGGGAGGUGUGGCCUGGGCGGG
rnacentral:misc_RNA from 1 species